UAAGUGGAGUUUUUAAACUCCACAAAUAGGGUCAAGCAGUUGACA
rfam:Gossypium raimondii Chr07_contig_930, whole genome shotgun sequence.